AUUCGCUUUUAAUAGCAUUAAGAGGGAUAAAAACAGAAUGAAAAUCAGUGGUGUCAAGUAACGAAGUAAAUGUACUUAGUUACUGUACUUGAGUACUAUUUUUGAGAAGUCAGCAUGUAACAAAGUAAACUUUUUCUGGAGUAAUUUUACUUGGAACGAAGUCAUUUUAAGACGUAACGUUUUACUUCGUUAUUUUCAUUUUGUAGCGAAGUAUUUCGUUACUUUCUAACUUUGUUUUAAUUUUACGUGAUUCAUUUCUGAAUUAUUUCAAUUUUGGGAUAGCUAAUAGGACCACACGUCUGGGAUCUAUCGUUUGUGGCUUACUUAUAAGCAUUAUUUAUUUAAUGGAUUUAUUAUAUCUUCAACGGGAUCUGGAAAGUAUAGACCAUGCCGUGAACUAUUGUAUAUUAGGUGCAGUGGUGCACGCGUAAAAUGCGUGUACUGUUUUUUGUCUUUUGUAUGUCAAUCCAUUGGAGAAAUCCCCUCCCCCAUACACGCCACAGACCAUAGUACUUUUACUUUUUACUUCAAGAAUUUUUUAAGGAUACUUUGUACUUUUUACUUAAGUACGUUUUGCCUCCAGUACUUUUUACUCUUAAUCAAGUCGUUUUAUUGUUAAUUACUUCUACUUUUACUCGAGUACAAAUUCAAAGUAAUUUAGGCACCACUGAUGAAAAUACUCCCAGUAAUUGUUUACAGGUGAGCAAAUGGACUGUCAAAAAGUAUUUUUUUAAAUGUAAUGCGAAUGUGAAAGCAUGAACAGAAUAUA